rnacentral:lncRNA from 1 species
GCUUAAUUCAUUAGCUCAUGUUAAAGAACUAAACCUUUUUGUAAAGUGUUACCAAAAACCUGCCAAAAACCUGAAAAUUCAAAAGUAACCACAAUCCAUCUACUGAAUGAUUCAAAUCAGUAAUUGCAAAGUUUACAAGUCAAACAGUUUUGUGAAACUUUUGUGUAUAUGUGUGUGUUUGUAUGUUUUCAUGUCAGUGGGUUCACACAGAGGGACACAGGUGGCUCAAUCUCCACUAGGCUGAGGAGACAAUUUGUCAAGACCCCUUGCCAUGAUUAACCUCCCUCUACAUCGGAGUGGAGAAAAGUGGAAGAAGAGGAGGAAAGGAAGAUGGAAGUGACACAGAAGGAAGAUGAGAAAAGAGUGAAGAGAGAGGAAGAGAGACAACUAAGGAGAGAGAUUUAGGGAGAGGUGAGGGGAGCGGGAGGACACGCUGUUGAUGCCCCAGUGACUCUGAGCGGGUCGUCUCACAAUCACAUUUAUCCCUCAGAGUUCCUCAUCCGGAUCCUUUCCCAGGACACAUCCCACAGCUCACCGCCCGGGAGAAGUCUAUGAGCACAGCUGAGGCAGCCUCCCGACUAUGAAGUUCCCAGAAACAGCCCUCUUUAUCAGGUGUCGCUCCUGGGCCAUAGCGGAAAUGUGGGCAGGUAGUAGAGCGAAGCAGAGAGACAUGAAGGAAAUGAAUGCCAGUGGCCUGGAGUCAACCUUUCUGUCAGGACAGCAUGGUGUGAGGAACACAGCACAAUCACAGUUGUCCCAGACAAUGCCACAGGACAACAGUAUAAACAAAAAUUACACCAUGCUCUUAAAGGAGUGGAGCGGAUAAAUAACAGUUACAUGUUUAUACAUAAACGUAAUACUUUACAGAAAGUGCUUCAUAAAUAGUAUUUGGGGUAACGUGUUCACAAUAUAACAUGUGUUUCAUUUAAAAUAAAAUGCAUUUUUAUUUAUUCGAUUUUAUUUACUUACAAAUACAAUUCACAACACAUCUUACUUCCCAAUAUUGAGUGAAAUGGGUAUACUUGAGAAAACAGUUGUUUAAAAAUGUAAGAAUAUUUAACAAUUUAACACAGGAUACUUAUUUACUAAAAAAAAAAAAACUUUAGAAGAAUAUUUAACAAUUUAACACAGAGACUAUUCUAAAAAAAAAAAAAAACUUUUGACCAGUACAAAAAUGUACAGAAUGUAGCCCAAAAUUGUUUAUUUAAAAACCCC